AUAAUAAAUUGUCCCUUAAAUGAGGACUAGUAUGAACGGCACCACGAGAGUUUAACUGUCUCCCCCUUUUAAUCAAUGAAAUUAAUCUUCCCGUGAAGAAACGGAAAUAUAUCUAUAAGACGAGAAGACCCUAUGGAGCUUUAAACUUAAUAUCACUUAUUUAUUUUUAUAACACCCCACUUAAUAAAAGUGUCCUUAUAGUUUUUGGUUGGGGCGACCCUGGAGAAAAAUAAAUCCUCCAGAUUGAAAGGAACAAUAAUCCUUAUACUAGAAUUACGAUUCAAAUAAACAAAAAUUUGACAAAACUGACCCAGAAUUAUCUGAUCAGUGAACCAAGUUACCCUAGGGAUAACAGCGCAAUCCAUUUCAAGAGCCCAUAUCGACAAA
rnacentral:rRNA from 1 species